AUCAUGUUCUUCCAGAUGUUUUUGGAUGCCAACUCUCACAGUCCUUGAUGACAGCCCAUGGUGAAGAAUACUGGGAGCUACAGUCCAAUCACAUCUGGAGGGCCAUGAUUCCACCUCUGGCCUGUAUCAGUAUAAAUUGUUGCAGUAGAGAUAGUCAUACAUCUGACUUGUAAUUUUGCAGUAGCUGGAAGCCAAAUGUCAGAGUUUUCAGACUGAGAUUUCAAUUUCCAACUAAAUUUUAGGGACAUUUUCAUGUGAAGUUGAAAAGCUCUAGUGAUGAUUCUUUGUUUUAUCUACUAAGUAACUCAGUUGCAAUCUUACUGAUGUCUAUUGAAAAAGUAAACCCUAUUACAUUUAAUAAGGCUUAUUACCAUAUGAAUGUGUGUAUGGGAUUGCAGUUUAAAUUGAUGACUGACAGUUUUAUCACUUUGAAAUCACCAGGUCAAGAAAGCAAACUGGGACUUUUAUUGUUUACACAUGAAUCUAAUAAAUUAGUCCGUUUUGCCUAUUUAAAAAGCAUCCUGUUGUGGAGUAGCUAAGCUGAUACGCAGCACAGGUUCUCUUUUAUUGGUGAAACCUCAGAGCAAGGCACCCAGUUUAUGUCCUCAUAAUCCUUAAUCCUGUUUCCUUUCUGUGGUGAUUUUCAGAAAAUCAAACCAGUCAUUUAAGCAGUAUUUAAAAAAACAUUGCAGAGGGAAAAUGAAACAAGGAAAUGAAAUCCUUCCAAGCUGCAUGCUCUGAAUUCAUUGUGUGAUUAUCACAUCUAUUUAUCAGACUUUUCAAAUAGACAUUAAAAACAUGCUGCCAUUUCUUGGGUUUUCCCUCUCUAAAUCCUUUCAGCUCAGCCAUAGUUAAGGGUGCAUAACUUGGGUAUUUCCUUAUGACUCAUAGUUAUGGGCAGUGUUUUGAGGACUGAUGAAACAAGGCACUCUGCAUAUACAGCAUUAAAUGAAGCAAUCCUGUUUUCAGGCAUUCUACAAUAUCGUGGUUUAGUUAGACAUUGCUGAUUUUUCAGCAUCGCAAUCACCCAGUGCCUGGUGUCAGAAUCAUAGAUGUAUGGUAAACUACCAGCAGGAUCCAGUGAAGGUUUAUUUUGAAGAGAGUCCUAUUGAUUUCAGUGGAUCAUCUUUCUGUAUCAGGUUGAAAUAACAAGCAAAAUGGAUUCUCCAAGAACGAACAUUAUAGGAAAUUAUGCUUAUGAAGAAGUCUGCAAGCAUGGUUUCUUCAUAAAAUCACCUCCAGUCCAUCUUUUCACUAAUCAGACUUCCUGGAAAAAGAGAUACUUUAUCCUUUCCAAGACGAUCAAAAAUGGUUAUGUCCUGAGGUAUCUUAAAGGCCAACAACUAAAGGGCUAUAUUGAAAUUAAUGAGUGACAGUGAGAAAAUGGCAGUGGUGAAGAAGAUGUUUAAAUGCCAGCCCACAGAAGUCAUGACCAUCAGACAGAGAACAGG